rnacentral:rRNA from 3 species
AGAUGCGAUCAUACCAGCACUAAAGCACCGGAUUCCAUCAGAACUCCGAAGUUAAGCGUGCUUGGGCGAGAGUAGUACUAGGAUGGGUGACCUCCUGGGAAGUCCUCGUGUUGCAUUCC